rnacentral:rRNA from 2 species
GCCGCCAACGAGUGGCGGACGGGUGAGUAACACGUAGGUAACCUGCCCAGAAGCGGGGGACAACAUUUGAAACAGAUGCUAAUACCGCAUAACAACGUUGUUCGCAUGAACAACGCUUAAAAGAUGGCUUCUCGCUAUCACUUUCUGGAUGGACCUGCGGUGCAUUAGCUUGUUGGUGGGGUAAUGGCCUACCAAGGCGAUGAUGCAUAGCCGAGUUGAGAGACUGAUCGGCCACAAUGGGACUGAGACACGGCCCAUACUCCUACGGGAGGCAGCAGUAGGGAAUCUUCCACAAUGGGCGCAAGCCUGAUGGAGCAACACCGCGUGAGUGAAGAAGGGUUUCGGCUCGUAAAGCUCUGUUGUUAAAGAAGAACACGUAUGAGAGUAACUGUUCAUACGUUGACGGUAUUUAACCAGAAAGUCACGGCUAACUACGUGCCAGCAGCCGCGGUAAUACGUAGGUGGCAAGCGUUAUCCGGAUUUAUUGGGCGUAAAGAGAGUGCAGGCGGUUUUCUAAGUCUGAUGUGAAAGCCUUCGGCUUAACCGGAGAAGUGCAUCGGAAACUGGAUAACUUGAGUGCAGAAGAGGGUAGUGGAACUCCAUGUGUAGCGGUGGAAUGCGUAGAUAUAUGGAAGAACACCAGUGGCGAAGGCGGCUACCUGGUCUGCAACUGACGCUGAGACUCGAAAGCAUGGGUAGCGAACAGGAUUAGAUACCCUGGUAGUCCAUGCCGUAAACGAUGAGUGCUAGGUGUUGGAGGGUUUCCGCCCUUCAGUGCCGGAGCUAACGCAUUAAGCACUCCGCCUGGGGAGUACGACCGCAAGGUUGAAACUCAAAGGAAUUGACGGGGGCCCGCACAAGCGGUGGAGCAUGUGGUUUAAUUCGAAGCUACGCGAAGAACCUUACCAGGUCUUGACAUCUUGCGCCAACCCUAGAGAUAGGGCGUUUCCUUCGGGAACGCAAUGACAGGUGGUGCAUGGUCGUCGUCAGC